AUUGAACGCUGGCGGCAUGCCUUACACAUGCAAGUCGGACGGUAACGGGCCUUCGGGUGCCGACGAGUGGCGAACGGGUGAGUAAUGUAUCGGAACGUACCUUUCAGUGGGGGAUAACGUAGCGAAAGUUACGCUAAUACCGCAUAUUCUGUGAGCAGGAAAGCAGGGGAUCGCAAGACCUUGCGCUGAUUGAGCGGCCGAUAUCAGAUUAGCUAGUUGGUGAGGUAAAGGCUCACCAAGGCGACGAUCUGUAGCGGGUCUGAGAGGAUGAUCCGCCACACUGGAACUGAAACACGGUCCAGACUCCUACGGGAGGCAGCAGUGGGGAAUUUUGGACAAUGGGGCAACCCUGAUCCAGCCAUGCCGCGUGAGUGAAGAAGGCCUUCGGGUUGUAAAGCUCUUUCGGCCGGGAAGAAAUCGUAUCAGCUAAUACCUGGUGCGGAUGACGGUACCGGCAUAAGAAGCACCGGCUAACUACGUGCCAGCAGCCGCCGCGGUAA
rnacentral:rRNA from 1 species